CCCUUCGAACCUUGCGCACUGCCACCCCUAUUUAAUGCGCGCACGUCAGAGUCCGUUUUUCGGUGAAGGUGACUUGAAAAGUCUUUUCGGAACCCCCAUUGAAACGCGAUCCCAAGCGUCGCUUGGCGGGAAUUCGUGAGCGGUCAACCCUCGAUGGCGGUGAAGGGGAUAAGCGCGCCACGCGGCACACAUCAGUUGGCCCAGGAAUACUCGCCGCCAUAACUGCGCCAGGAUCCAUCGGCUAUUUAAACUCCUUAGCCCCUUCGUGGCCUCAUUCUGGCACUGUUCUUUCAUCUGAGAGUCCUGCUUCUCUCGCCCCAGUCCCUGUCUCCUUCCCUUAUACCAUGUUCUCUACUCGGGAGGCUAUUUUUGAGGGGAUUUUUAGGGUUUGGAGGAAGGUGAGGAGGAGAAUGGCGGUCGGUGAGAAUCUCCGUUGCUCUAAAGGGAGCCCAAGGAAGAAUUCCUUCAACAACAGGGGUUUAAUAACGGGGGCUGUCGGUGAAGUUAUUCUGCCCGCGAAUCUUGGAGAAGCAAGGCGGGG
rnacentral:lncRNA from 1 species